rnacentral:rRNA from 1 species
UACGUAGGGCGCAAGCGUUAUCCGGAAUUAUUGGGCGUAAGAGCUCGUAGGCGGUUUGUCGCGUCUGCCGUGAAAGUCCGGGGCUCAACCCUGGACAGGCGGUGGAAACUACCAAGCUGGAGUACGGUAGGGGCAGAGGGAAUUUCCGGUGGAGCGGUGAAAUGCGUAGAGAUCGGAAAGAACACCAACGGCGAAGCACUCUGCUGGGCCGACACUGACACUGAGAGACGAAAGCUAGGGGAGCGAAUGGG